rnacentral:rRNA from 1 species
AUGGGCGGAAGCCUGACCCAGCAACGCCGCGUGGAGGAAGACGGCCUUCGGGUUGUAAACUCCUUUUACGGGGGAAGAGCGAGGACGGUACCCCGAGAAUAAGUCACGGCUAACUACGUGCCAGCAGCCGCGGUAAU